rnacentral:tRNA from 1 species
UUUUUUAUAGUGUAUGAAACAUAUUACAUUUUCGAUGUAAAGCUGAAGGCCUUCUCUUCUAAAAAUA